UUUUUUUUUUUUUUUUUUUGAUACGGAGUCUCACUCUGUCACCCAGGCUGGAGUGCAAUGGCACAAUCUCGGCUCACUGCAGCCUCCGCCUCCCGGGUUCAAGCGAUUCUCCUGCCUCAGCCUCCUACAGGCGUGCGCCACUGUGCCCAGCUAAUUUUUGUAUUUUAUUUUUUUAGUAGAGACAGGAUUUUGCACUGUUAGGCUGGUCUCGACCUACUGACCUCAUGAUCGCCCGCCUUGACCUCCCAAAGUGGUGGGAUUACAGGCGUGAGCCACCACUUCCAGCCAAGUAGGACAUUUCUUUGAGUGAUUUUCUUAGAAGGGGGGCAUGAGUGGUACUUUCAAAGUCUUUUUAUGUCCAAUUUCUUUUUAACCUUCGUGUAUGAAUGAUAUUGUGGUUAGGUUUAGAAUUCUUGGAAUACUAGUCCUAGUCUCGACAAAGUCUAAGUAGCUUUCCAGUGUUUUGAGUUUCUGGUGAUACAGAUGAGAAGUCCAAUGGGAUUUUUUUUCCUUGUGAGACGUGGUCUUGUAACACAGUGGUUAAGAAUGUGACUUUGGAGCCAGCCUGCUAGGGGCUGAAUUCUGACUCAGCCAUUUACUAACUGUGUGACCUU
rnacentral:lncRNA from 10 species